UACGUAGGGCGCAAGCGUUGUCCGGAAUUAUUGGGCGUAAAGAGCUCGUAGGCGGUUUGUCGCGUCUGCUGUGAAAACCUAAGGCUCAACCUUGGGCUUGCAGUGGGUACGGGCAGACUAGAGUGCGGUAGGGGUGACUGGAAUUCCUGGUGUAGCGGUGGAAUGCGCAGAUAUCAGGAGGAACACCGGUGGCGAAGGCGGGUCUCUGGGCCGAUACUGACGCUGAGAAGCGAAAGCGUGGGGAGCGAACAGG
rnacentral:rRNA from 1 species